AUUGAACGCUGGCGGUAUGCCUAACACAUGCAAGUCGAACGGCAGCACAGUAAGAGCUUUCUCUUACGGUUGGCGAGUGGCGGACGGGUGAGGAAUACAUCGGAAUCUACUUUUUCUUGGGUGAUAACGUAGGGAAACUUACGCUAAUACCUCAUACGACCUACGGGUGAAAUCAGGGGAUCUUCGGACCUUGCGCGAUUGAAUGAGCCGAUGUCGGAUUAGCUAGUUGGCGGGGUAAAGGCCCACCAAGGCGACGAUCCGUAGCUGGUCUGAGAGGAUGAUCAGCCACACUGGAACUGAGGCACGGUCCAGACUCCUACGGGAGGCAGCAGUGGGGAAUAUUGGACAAUGGGCGCAAGCCUGAUCCAGCCAUACCGCGUGGGUGAAGAAGGCCUUCGGGUUGUAAAGCCCUUUUGUUGGGAAAGAAAAGCAGCAGGUUAAUACCCCGAUGUUCUGACGGUACCUAAAGAAUAAGCACCGGCUAACUUCGUG
rnacentral:rRNA from 1 species